UGAUAGAUCGCUUCUCUUGGCGACGGCUGACCGCGUUCCCAAACAGAGCGGCCGAUACAGAGAUAAGGAAGCGAGCGGGAAAGAAACUAGCAUUCUCUCUCCCCCUCUCACUUCUCUCCUCUCUCCUUUCCCUUCAAGAACUUCACCUCUCUCACCAUGCGUGUGAGCUCCACUCCUGUGAGCAGCAAUGGCUUCUCGGUUGGUUUGAGGUCUUCCGAUCCGUUUCUUCAGCUAGGGUUUCUCCCCAGGUGGAAGAACGGAAAUACGGUUCUUUCUCAGAGGAAGAUCCGGCAGCGGUUCCCUAGGGCAAGCCUCUCUUCCGACCCACUGUUGGUUCAGGCUGCUAGAGGAAAUCUCACAAGUCGGCCUCCAGCAUGGAUGAUGCGCCAAGCAGGAAGGUAUAUGGCUGUUUACAGAAAGCUUGCAGAGAAAUACCCAUCAUUCAGAGAGAGAUCAGAGACAGUUGAUCUCAUAGUAGAAAUUUCUUUGCAGCCAUGGAGAGCUUUCCAGCCAGAUGGAGUCAUAAUUUUCUCUGACAUACUUACUCCUCUACCUGCACUUGGUGUACCUUUUGAUAUAGAAGAAGUAAAGGGCCCUAUAAUUCCAUCGCCUAUUUGCUCUAAGGAGGGUCUUAAAACAUUGCAUCCAAUUGAUAUGGAGAAACUUCAGUUUGUAGGAGAGUCACUCAAGAUCUUACGCAACGAGGUUGGAGAGAGAGCAGCGGUGCUAGGAUUUGUUGGAGCACCAUGGACACUUGCUACUUAUAUUGUGGAAGGGGGUUCAACCCGCACAUAUACAACUAUAAAAAGCAUGUGCCAUACUGCACCAAAUGUUUUGAAGGCUCUUCUCUCUCAUCUGGCACAAGCAAUAUCUGACUAUAUCAUUUUCCAAGUGAAUUCAGGAGCUCAGUGUAUACAAAUUUUUGAUUCAUGGGGUGGACAACUACCACCUAAUGUUUGGGAGCAGUGGUCAAAGCCAUAUAUCGAGCAGAUGGUAAGUUCAGUAAAGAAGGAAUGCCCUCAGAUACCACUUGUGUUAUAUAUCAAUGGUAAUGGGGGCCUACUUGAGCGCAUGACUGGAACUGGAGUUGAUGUGAUUGGGCUUGACUGGACAGUGGAUAUGGCAGAUGGAAGGAGGCGGCUUGGAAGUAAAAUUAGUGUGCAGGGAAAUGUAGACCCAGCUUAUCUAUUUUCUCCACUUCCUGUUUUGACAGAUGAAAUCCAUAGAUCUUAUGAAUAUCUGGAAAAAUUAUUAUAUGAUGCGGGCUAGGUCAUUGGUGCGAUGGAUGAGAAGUUUCUUGAUGUAGCUCUUUCACGUGGUGCACUAUUAUAAUGGUUGAAUUAAUAGUAGGUUCAGAAGCCAUCUUGGACCUUGCUUCCUUGUUAGUUGCUCGCAUAGCCAUUUGUCAGGACAACAUUCCAUCCUUUGUGUCAACUGUCAAUGAUUUAUAAUGUCUAGACAUCAGGGUUGUAAGAUGUGCCGGGCGAAGGGGACAUAUACUAAAUCUGGGUCAUGGUGUUCUUGUGAAGACGCCAGAAGAGGCGGUCGCACAUUUCUUUGAUGUUGUAAAGAGCUUGAAUUAUGACAUAUUCUUUGAAAGUGGUGCAGCUGAAGAACUGGAGCCUGUUGGGCGGUUGUAGAAUUCAGAGCCUGCAUCAAUGCAUCGAGAAUUUCUGCCAAAUUCAUGGUUCCCAACUUGGUAAUCUGUUGAAAAGCUCCUUGUCGGUUGUGCACAUUUAGGUGUGACGUCGUAUAUGGGGUCAGUGCAGGUUGGAAGUUUAGGAGCAACGGGACAUUUACAUGUCAACACUUCCAUUCUCUUGUGUGUUAGAUUUUUAUGUUACCAAAAGCAUUUCCCAUGGAGCUAAUGCUGCUGGGAUGGUGGGGGAAAAGUGCGAACAGACACAACCAUGUGAUGGAGCUGUGGACCACAUCAGCAUCUCAAGAUACGCAUCCGUAGAUAAAGCAGAAGAGGCAUAAAUUUUCUCAGCCGUUGGGUAUUGCAGAUGAUGUGAUGGUUUCCAUAUUGUUCUUAGGGUGAAGCUAUUUUGGUGCUGCUGCUGUUCUUUUCUUGUGUGGCGGAAGAUGAUUGGAGCAACUCAUGAGGCUGGACUAUUCAAUGCCAUGCCAGUCGAACACCAUGCUAAAGAAGGAAAGUUCUCGUGCCCAUCGGGUCCUU